AGGGAAUAUUGGGCAAUGGAUGCAAGUCUGACCCAGCCAUGCCGCGUGCCGGAUGAAGGCCCUCAGGGUUGUAAACGGCUUUUAUUCGGGAAGAAGAGCAGGGAUGCGUCCUUAUGUGACGGUACCGAAUGAAUAAGCACCGGCUAACUCCGUGCCAGCAGCCGCGGUAAUACGGAGGGUGCGAGCGUUGUCCGGAUUUAUUGGGUUUAAAGGGUGCGUAGGUGGCUUAAUAAGUCAGUGGUGAAAUACAGCCGCUCAACGGUUGAGGUGCCAUUGAUACUGUUAAGCUUGAAACAAGUGGAGGCUGCCGGAAUGGAUGGUGUAGCGGUGAAAUGCAUAGAUAUCAUCCAGAACACCGAUUGCGAAGGCAGGUGGCUACGUUUGAUGUGACACUGAGGCACGAAAGCAUGGGGAGCAAAC
rnacentral:rRNA from 1 species